rnacentral:rRNA from 1 species
UGCAGUCGAGCGGAACGAGUUAUCUGAACCUUCGGGGGACGAUAACGGCGUCGAGCGGCGGACGGGUGAGUAAUGCCUAGGAAAUUGCCCUGAUGUGGGGGAUAACCAUUGGAAACGAUGGCUAAUACCGCAUGAUGCCUACGGGCCAAAGAGGGGGACCUUCGGGCCUCUCGCGUCAGGAUAUGCCUAGGUGGGAUUAGCUAGUUGGUGAGGUAAGGGCUCACCAAGGCGACGAUCCCUAGCUGGUCUGAGAGGAUGAUCAGCCACACUGGAACUGAGACACGGUCCAGACUCCUACGGGAGGCAGCAGUGGGGAAUAUUGCACAAUGGGCGCAAGCCUGAUGCAGCCAUGCCGCGUGUGUGAAGAAGGCCUUCGGGUUGUAAAGCACUUUCAGUCGUGAGGAAGGUGGUGUAGUUAAUAGCUGUAUUAUUUGACGUUAGCGACAGAAGAAGCACCGGCUAACUCCGUGCCAGCAGCCGCGGUAAUACGGAGGGUGCGAGCGUUAAUCGGAAUUACUGGGCGUAAAGCGCAUGCAGGUGGUUUGUUAAGUCAGAUGUGAAAGCCCGGGGCUCAACCUCGGAAUAGCAUUUGAAACUGGCAGACUAGAGUACUGUAGAGGGGGGUAGAAUUUCAGGUGUAGCGGUGAAAUGCGUAGAGAUCUGAAGGAAUACCGGUGGCGAARGCGGCCCCCUGGACAGAUACUGACACUCAGAUGCGAAAGCGUGGGGAGCAAACAGGAUUAGAUACCCUGGUAGUCCACGCCGUAAACGAUGUCUACUUGGAGGUUGUGGCCUUGAGCCGUGGCUUUCGGAGCUAACGCGUUAAGUAGACCGCCUGGGGGAGUACGGUCGCAAGAUUAAAACUCAAAUGAAUUGACGGGGCCCGCACAGCGGUGGAGCAUGUGGUUUACUCGAUGCACACGAUAACUACUACUCUGACAUCAGAAACUUCAGAGAUGGAUGKGCUCGGGACUCUGAGACAGGGCUGCAUGCUGUCGUC